GACGAACGUUGGCGGCGUGCUUAAUACAUGCAAGUCAACUGAAGCAGUGGUAGCAAUAUCGCUGUGGAGGUGGCGCACGGGUGAGUAACACGUAGGUAAUCUGCCUUCAGGUCUGGCAUAACUCCGGGAAACCGGGGCUAAUAGCAGAUGAUGCAGCGGCUCGACAUCGAGACAGUUGUUAAAGCUAUGGCGCCUGAAGAUGAGCCUGCGUCUGAUUAGCUAGUUGGCGGGGUAACGGCCCACCAAGGCAACGAUCAGUAGCUGGUCUGAGAGGAUGAUCAGCCACACUGGAACUGAGACACGGUCCAGACUCGUACGGGAGGCAGCAGUAAGGAAUAUUGCUCAAUGGGAGAAAUACUGAAGCAGCAACGCCGCGUGAGGGACGAAGGGCUUUUGCUUGUAAACCUCUGUAGUGAGAGAAAAAAAUCCCAAUCUUUGGGACAUGAUGGUAUCUCAAAAGUAAGCCCCGGCUAACUACGUG
rnacentral:rRNA from 1 species